rnacentral:rRNA from 1 species
ACGUGAGCAACCUGCCCCUCACUCUGGGAUAAGCGCUGGAAACGGCGUCUAAUACUGGAUACGAGUUGGAGCCGCAUGGUUACCAACUGGAAAGAUUUUUUGGUGGGGGAUGGGCUCGCGGCCUAUCAGCUUGUUGGUGAGGUAAUGGCUCACCAAGGCGUCGACGGGUAGCCGGCCUGAGAGGGUGACCGGCCACACUGGGACUGAGACACGGCCCAGACUCCUACGGGAGGCAGCAGUGGGGAAUAUUGCACAAUGGGCGGAAGCCUGAUGCAGCAACGCCGCGUGAGGGAUGACGGCCUUCGGGUUGUAAACCUCUUUUAGCAGGGAAGAAGCGAAAGUGACGGUACCUGCAGAAAAAGCACCGGCUAACUACGUGCCAGCAGCCGCGGUAAUACGUAGGGUGCAAGCGUUAUCCGGAAUUAUUGGGCGUAAAGAGCUCGUAGGCGGUUUGUCGCGUCUGCUGUGAAAUCCCGAGGCUCAACCUCGGGCCUGCAGUGGGUACGGGCAGACUAGAGUGCGGUAGGGGAGAUUGGAAUUCCUGGUGUAGCGGUGGAAUGCGCAGAUAUCAGGAGGAACACCGAUGGCGAAGGCAGAUCUCUGGGCCGUAACUGACGCUGAGGAGCGAAAGGGUGGGGAGCAAACAGGCUUAGAUACCCUGGUAGUCCACCCCGUAAACGUUGGGAACUAGUUGUGGGGUCCUUUCCACGGAUUCCGUGACGCAGCUAACGCAUUAAGUUCCCCGCCUGGGGAGUACGGCCGCAAGGCUAAAACUCAAAGGAAUUGACGGGGACCCGCACAAGCGGCGGAGCAUGCGGAUUAAUUCGAUGCAACGCGAAGAACCUUACCAAGGCUUGACAUACACCAGAACACCGUAGAAAUACGGGACUCUUUGGACACUGGUGAACAGGUGGUGCAUGGUUGUCGUCAGCUCGUGUCGUGAGAUGUUGGGUUAAGUCCCGCAACGAGCGCAACCCUCGUUCUAUGUUGCCAGCACGUAAUGGUGGGAACUCAUGGGAUACUGCCGGGGUCAACUCGGAGGAAGGUGGGGAUGACGUCAAAUCAUCAUGCCCCUUAUGUCUUGGGCUUCACGCAUGCUACAAUGGCCGGUACAAAGGGCUGCAAUACCGUGAGGUGGAGCGAAUCCCAAAAAGCCGGUCCCAGUUCGGAUUGAGGUCUGCAACUCGACCUCAUGAAGUCGGAGUCGCUAGUAAUCGCAGAUCAGCAACGCUGCGGUGAAUACGUUCCCGGGUCUUGUACACACCGC